CAGUCGCCGCGGUAAUACGAAGGGGGCUAGCGUUGUUCGGAUUUACUGGGCGUAAAGCGCACGUAGGCGGACUUUUAAGUCAGGGGUGAAAUCCCGGGGCUCAACCCCGGAACUGCCUUUGAUACUGGAAGUCUUGAGUAUGGUAGAGGUGAGUGGAAUUCCGAGUGUAGAGGUGAAAUUCGUAGAUAUUCGGAGGAACACCAGUGGCGAAGACGGCUCACUGGACCAUUACUGACGCUGAGGUGCGAAAGCGUGGGGAGCAAACAGGAUUAGAUACCCGCGUAGUCCCUGUCUCUUAUAA
rnacentral:rRNA from 1 species